rnacentral:rRNA from 1 species
CCUACGGGUGGCAGCAGUAGGGAAUAUUGCUCAAUGGGGGAAACCCUGAAGCAGCAACGCCGCGUGGAGGAUGAAGGUUUUCGGAUUGUAAACUCCUUUUGUUAGAGAAGAUAAUGACGGUAUCUAACGAAUAAGCACCUGCUAACUCCGUGCCAGCAGCCGCGGUAAUACGGAGGGUGCAAGAGUUACUUGGAAUCACUGGGCGUAAAGAGCGCGUAGGCGGGAUAGCAAGUCAGAUGUGAAAUCCUAUGGCUUAACCAUAGAACUGCAUUUGAAACUGUUAUUCUAGAGUAUGGGAGAGGGAGGUGGGAUUCUUGGGGUAGGGGUAGAAUCCGUAGAGAUUAAGAGGAAUACUCAUUGCGAAGGCGACCUGAUAGAACAUAACUGACGGUGAUGGGCGAAAGCGUGGGGAGCAAACAGGAAUAG